AAUCUAAAAACAUGAAGUCGCUUAAGCUUUCCUUUGUGAUUGUGGCUGUUCUUUUGCUGAUUGGCCAGACUAGUGUAGUAAAAGCAGUAUCCGUGCCGGUAACCCUCAGAUCUACCAGUGGCUAAGGAAUUUUGUCAAAUAACUCUUAUCGAAAAGCAUAACAAUAAAAAUCAUUUUUAAAAUAACGGUUUUUCAUAAA